UACGUAGGUGGCGAGCGUUGUCCGGAUUUACUGGGCGUAAAGAGCGCGCAGGCGGUCGUACAAGUCGAGUGUGAAAGCCCCCGGCUUAACCGGGGAGGGUCGUCGGGGACGGUGGAGCUUGAGGGCGGGAGAGGUCGGUGGAAUUCCCGGUGUAGUGGUGAAAUGCGUAGAGAUCGGGAGGAACACCUGUGGCGAAGGCGGCCGACUGGGCCGACCCUGACGCUGAGGCGCGAAGGCGUGGGGAGCAAACAGG
rnacentral:rRNA from 1 species